CUUUUGAUGUGAGCACCUGGAAGAAAGGUGUUGCUAUUUUUUUUUUAAAUUAUACUUUAAGUUCUAGGGUUUAGAUGGAAGAGAACACAUUGCUCCAUGCUAAGGACUAAUAUGAGGAGAAGCAGUUUGAAUAGAAGAUGUGUCCAGUGUUCAAGGAGUGAUUGUGCAGUAAGCCAACACCAGAAAUAACAUGAUCCAGACCAAGCCAACAGGAACCCAGCAAUCGACCAAUACAGCUGUGACCCUGACUGGCUAGUAGUCUCUGGCACCCUGUCCGUCUCCAGCCAGCCAGCUCAUUUCACUUUACACCCUCAUGGACUGAGAUUAUACUCACCUUUUAUGAAAGCACUGCAUGAAUAAAAUUAUUCCUUUGUAUUUUUACUUUUAAAUGUCUUCUGUAUUCACUUAUAUGUUCUAAUUAAUAAAUUAUUUAUUAUUAAGAAUAGUUCCCUAGUCUAUUCAUUAUAUUUAGGGAAAGGUAGUGUAUCAUUGUUGUUUGAUUUCUGACCUUGUACCUCUCUUUGAUGGUAACCAUAAUGGAAGAGAUUCUGGCUAGUGUCUAUCAGAGGUGAAAGCUAUAUCGAUCACUCUUAGAGUCCAGCUUGUAAUGGUUCUUUACACAUCAGUCACAAGUUACAGCUGUGACAAUGGCAACAAUUUGAGAUCUAUUUCAACUUGUCUCUAUAAUAGAAUUCUAUUUAUAGAAUAAGGGAGAACAAAAUCCAGUCUGCAUAAACAUCUUCUUUUGAGAAGUGCCUGUUCAUAUCCUUUGCCAAAUUUUGAUGGGGUUGUUUGAUUUUUUCUUGUAAAUUUGUUUAAGUUCUUUGUAGAUUCUGGAUAUUAGCCCUUUGUCAGAUGGGUAGAUUGUAAAAAUGUUCUCCCAUUCUGUAGGUUGCCUGUUCACUCUGAUAGUAGUUUAUUUUGGUGUGCAGAAGCUCUUUAGUUUAAUUAGAUCCCAUUUGUCUAUUUUGGCUUUUGUUGCCAUUACUUUUGGUGUUUUAGUCAUGAAGUCCUUGCCCUUGCGUAUGUCCUGAAUGGUAUUGCCUAGGUUUUCUUCUAGGGUUUUUAUGGUUUUACGUCUAACAUUUAAUUCUUUAAUCCAUCUUGAAUUGAUUUUUGUAUAAGGUGUAAAGAAUGGAUCCCUCUUCAUUGCUUCAAAGAGAAUAAAAUACCUAGGAAUCCAACUUACAAGGGAUGUGAAGGACCUCUUCAAGGAGAACUACAAACCGCUGCUCAAUGAAAUAAAAGAGGACACAAACAAAUGGAAGAACAUUCCAUGCUCAUGGAUAGGAAGAAUCAAUAUCAUGAAAAUGGACAUACUGCCCAAGGAAAUUUAUAGAUUCAAUGCCAUCCCCAUCCAGCUACCAAUGACUCUCUUCACAAAAUUGGAAAAAACUACUUUAAAGUUCAUAUGGAACCAAAAAACAGCCCGCAUUGCCAAGACAAUCCUAAGCCAAAAGAACAAAGCUAAAUGCUCCAAUUAAAAGACACAGACUGACAAAUUGGAUAAAGAGUCAAGACCCAUCAGUGUGCUGUAUUCAGGAGACCCAUCUCACAUGCAGAGACACACAUAGGAUCAAAAUAAAGGGAUGGAGGAAGAUCUACCAAGGAAAUGGAAAACAAAAAAAAGCAGGGGUUGCAAUCCUAGUCUCUGAUAAAACAGACUUUAAACCAACAAAGAUCAAAAGAGACAAAGAAGGCCAUUACAUAAUGGUAAAGGGAUCA
rnacentral:lncRNA from 1 species